UACGAAGGGUGCAAGCGUUACUCGGAGUUACUGGGCGUAAAGGGUGCGUAGGCGGCUUCUUAAGUCUGGUGUGAAAUCUCCCGGCUCAACUGGGAGGGUGCGCCGGAUACUGAGGGGCUAGAGUGUGGGAGAGGAAAGUGGAAUUCCUGGUGUAGCGGUGAAAUGCGUAGAUAUCAGGAGGAACACCGGUGGUGUAAACGGCUUUCUGGACCAUAACUGACGCUGAGGCACGAAAGCGUGGGUAGCAAACAGG
rnacentral:rRNA from 1 species